CUUGAACCUUACUUUCGCGGACGAAAGUUCUUUUUAGUAGUGGAUAUUGUAAUGACCCUUAUUGUCAUUUUUAGUGUUUUAUCUUCUGUACAUCGUUUAGAGCGUUCCUACAGCGAUUCUAAGUCAUUUAUGACUUGCUGGGACUGACAGAUCGGUCACCUGGUCAUUCGUUUUGUUAUUGUGUGAGCUUUAGUAUUUUUGAAGCUUAUGAACCUUGAACGAUCAUUUUCGAUCAAAAGUUCAAGAAGAUGACAUCAGAAUCCAAUUCUGACGAUUCCAUCAGUUCCGGAAGGGUCAUUUUAGUCCAGUAGCAUUGUCGACAUGACUCCCAAAGUUUUCAGUGUGAGUUGGUGGGAUUAGGCGUUUUAACUUUAAGUUUAAAGGCUAAGUUUGACUUUAGUCAACAUUCUGAGUAAACGCGCUCGGAUGAGAAUUCCGUCAGCGCGGUUAGCUCCGGAAUGUCGAGUUUGGUCUAGUUUGACCCUUCUUUCGGGUUUUGAGGUUUUUGAUAUUUUUCCGAGCCCUUUUGUGGUUUUUGACUUAAAAUGGCCAAUGGAAGUGGGACCCACAUUUUAUCGAGAUGACCUCUGAUGAAAAUUUCGACUGCGCCUUUGAGUCCGGAAUGUCGACUUUGGUAGGGUAGCAUAUCUAUUUUAUUUUUAUCAGGUUCCGAACGGAUUCCGAGCACCCGUCGGAGACUUUAAAGAAAGUAGGCAAAGCUGAAUCUGGUGCAGCCCCUAUAAAAACCCCAACUUUCAGCUUUAUGUUUUACUUUGGAACUUGAUAUCUUGAGCGAUACAACUCCGAAUUGGGCGAUUCAAAAGGCUAAGUUGUGAGAUUUUUCGAGGGCAACACAUUGGUGAGCUUGGAAUCUGAUUUGGGGACACGAUUUGAGGUCCGAAUCAAGUGAUUCAAGAGCCUAUAUUGUGGGGUUUUUCGUGAGGAUCGUCGUGGUGUGAUUGGUUUUGGCUGUUGGAGCUUCAUUUUUGGUAAAAUCUGUGUAUCAACGUUUCGAGGCCUUUUAGAAAGUAAAAGAUCCGGGGAGUGAAUUUUGGAGCGCGCGUGAUCUGCGUUCAGGUAGGCUAUGGUUUCUCUUCUUAGACUGAACUCGAACAUGUGAAUGCAUGUUGAUUAGUUGGAAUUUGGGUUGGGUAGUUAUUGGAUCAUGCAUAGGUGUUAAAAAUUAUAUUUUCGGCCUUGUUCUGAGAAUUAUCGGGUAACUGUGAGCAUGUUUAUAUUGACCUUCUUUGCUAUAUGAAUUACUUGUAUGUUUGAAUACUGGUUGUCAGAAGUAUGUUGAGCCUUAGUUUAGGUUUGACUAGGGUUUUCCUUAGAAAUGCAUGAUUCAAAGUCGGUAGGACUUAGUUUAGCCCCGACGUCGCUCGGCCGGCUUAAAUCCUUGUAGACUGAUGUAGCAGACUUGAGUCUGAUAGUUUGGUAUUUAGCUAGACGAUGAGCUUGCUCUAGCGAUAGUUACUCUUAUUUCUUAGAUGUUACGGCUUCUCGAGUUACGUCAGUGACAAUGAAUUCCGCUCCGUGAUUCAAAGUUGAGUUUCUAUUCGACUGUAAGGUCUUACAUUGAUUAGCUAAGUCUGGAUGGUGUUCCAUGGGUUUAUAUGAUUAUGGAUAGAUAAAGACUCUUUCAGCAUGCUAUAUCGACAUCUUUGUCGGGUAUCCGGAUUUAAGGUCCGGCCUCGACCAUCCACAUACUUAUGUAGAGCAUCCGGUUAGAGGUCCGGCCUCAAGUAUGUAGAGCAUCCGGUUAGAGGUCCGGCCUCAGUUACUUAUAUUUUGCAAUUGGCUACUUGUGUAAUUCUGGUGAGUGUCCGGUUCAAGGCCCGACCUCCGUACCGUCAGAUUCUACUUUUUGGUUCGGUGUUCUUUGGCCUCGAGUUCUAUUCUCCUUAAGUUAUAGUUAUUUUGUGUACGCGUCGGACUUAUGGGGGUCCGUUCGGGUUUUUAUUUAAACUUGUGCACGAGUGUACCUUCUGGGCUUAUGGUGGGUCCAGUUAGGUGUAGUUAGCUUAUUUAUAUUAAUUUAGUUAGAUCUUUAUACACUCGUGUGCAUUAUUGUGUUACUUAGCCUUCCGUUCUUGACCUCUAGUUUUGUGAUUUCGUCUUUUCAUAGUGCUUUACUUUUCUAGUUCAGUCGGCCUAUGAUGCCUACUGGGUACCUGUUAUUUGGUACUCAUGCUACACUCUGCAUCUAUUUUCGUG